rnacentral:lncRNA from 1 species
UUGGAUUUUUUUGGAGAUUUUUGGGAUCUUUGUGGGAUUUUUAUUGAGAUUUUUGUGGGAUUUUUAUUGGAUUUUGAGGGGAUUUUUAUUGUGAUUAUUUGCGAUUUUUUUAAAGAAGUUUGGGGGAUUUUUACUGGAAUUUUGGGGAGACUUUUAUUGGGAUUUUUAGGAUUUUUUAAAAGAUUUUUUUGGAUUUUGGGGGAGAUUUUUUGGGGAUUUUUUAAAGAAUUUUUGGGGGAUUUUUAAAAGAAUUUUUGAGGGUUUUUUUAUUUUUUGGGGAGAUUUUUUGGGAUUUUUUUUAAGAAUUUUUGGGGAAUUUUCAUUGGAAUUUUUGAGAUUUUUUGGGAUUUUUUUAAGAAUUUUUGGGGGAUAUUUUGAGAAUUUUUUGGGAAUUUUGUGUUCUCGUUUUUGGGAAAUUCCAGGGAUUUUUGGGAGGGAUCCCAAAUUUUCCAUUUUUCCGCAGGCCCAGAUCCGGCAGAGUUUGGAGCAGAAGGAGAAGGAGAAAAACCAGGAAGAACCCCCCAAAAAAAAGAGAAAAAAAGAGGCAAAAACCCCCCAAAAAUCCAGGAACAAACUGGGAGAAAACCUCCAAAAAUCUGCAAAAAAAAUGGGAGAAAACCCCCAAAAAAAGAGGAAAAAAUUGGGAGAAAAUCCCCAAAAAUCAGUGGAAAAAAUUGGAGAAAAAACCCCAAAAAAUCAGGAAAAAGGGGAAGGAAACGCCAAAAAAAUUGGGAAAAAAUUGGGGAAAAAAACCCCAAAAAUUGGGCAAAAAAAUGGGGAAAAACCCAAAAUGAAGAGGAAAGGGCAGAAGGGGGGUCCUGGCUCCAAAUUGGGGGGAAAAGCCCCAAAAUUGGGGGGAUCCCCCCCAAACAAGGGGGCCCUGGAGCGGUUCAAGAAAUAAAUUUGGGGGGCAGCGAGUUUGGGGGGGCUGCGCUUGGAUCUGUCCCCAAUUUUGGGGGUCCCCAAUGUCCCCAUCCCAAAGUUUGGGGUCCCCAAAGUGUCCCCGUCCCAAAUUUUGGGCUCUCCAAAAUGUCCCCUGCCCCCAGUUUUGGGGUCCUAUCCCCAAUUUUGGGGUCCCCAAUGUCCCCUCCCCCAAUUUUUGGGAUCCCCAAAGUGUCCCCAUUGCAAUUUUGGGGUCCCCAAAAUGUCCCCGUCUCAAUUUUGGGGUCCUCUCCCCAUUUUUAGGUGUCCCCAAAAUGUCCCCAUCCCAAUUUUGGGUGUCCCCAAAGUGUCCCCAAAGUGUCCCCAUCCCAAAUUUUGGGUUCCUCUCCCCAAUUUUGGGGGUCCCCAAUGUCCCCUCCCCCCAAUUUUGGGGUCCCCAAUGUCUGCAUCCCAAUUUUGGGGUCCCCAUCCCAAAUUUUGGGGUCCCCAAGGUGUCCCCAUCCCAAUAUUGGGUGUCCCCAAAAUGUCCCCAUUGCAAUUUUGGUGUCCCCAAAGUGUCCCCAUCCCAAAUUUUGGGGUCCUCUCCCCAAUUUUGGGUGUCCCCAAUGUCCUCUGCCCCCAAUUUUAGUGUCCCCAAAAUGUCCCUGUCCCAAAUUUUGGGGUCCCCAUCUCGAUUUUGGGGUCCCCAAUGUCCCCAACUUUGGGGUCCCAAAGUGUCCCCAUCUCAAAUUUUGGGGUCCCAUCCCCAAUUUUGGGUCCCCAAAAUGUCCCCAUCCCAAUUUCGGGGGUCCCCAAAGUGUCCCCAUCCUAUUUUUGGGUGUCCCCAAAGUGUCCCCUCCCCCAGGCGAGGCCCCCUCGGUGUCACCGGCGCUGGGACUUUAUUGGGGUGGCACCG